GCAUGUGUGAUGUAAACAAAAGAGUAUGAGAAGCUGUGAUACUGUAAACGCUUUCUGAUGUG
rnacentral:snoRNA from 1 species